AAGAGUUGCGAACGGGUGAGUAACGCGUAGGUAACCUGCCUCUUAGCGGGGGAUAACUAUUGGAAACGAUAGCUAGUACCGCAUAAAAGUCGACAUUGUAUGAUGUUGACUUGAAAGGUGCAAUUGCAUCACUAAGAGAUGGACCUGCGUUGUAUUAGCUAGUUGGUGAGGUAACGGCUCACCAAGGCGACGAUACAUAGCCGACCUGAGAGGGUGAUCGGCCACACUGGGACUGAGACACGGCCCAGACUCCUACGGGAGGCAGCAGUAGGGAAUCUUCGGCAAUGGGGGCAACCCUGACCGAGCAACGCCGCGUGAGUGAAGAAGGUUUUCGGAUCGUAAAGCUCUGUUGUAAGAGAAGAACGAGUGUGAGAGUGGAAAGUUCACGCUGUGACGGUAUCUUACCAGAAAGGGACGGCUAACUACGUGCCAGCAGCCGCGGUAAUACGUAGGUCCCGAGCGUUAUCCGGAUUUAUUGGGCGUAAAGCGAGCGCAGGCGGUUAGAUAAGUCUGAAGUUAAAGGCUGUGGCUUAACCAUAGUACGCUUUGGAAACUGUUUAACUUGAGUGCAGAAGGGGAGAGUGGAAUUCCAUGUGUAGCGGUGAAAUGCGUAGAUAUAUGGAGGA
rnacentral:rRNA from 1 species